rnacentral:rRNA from 1 species
AUUGAACGCUGGCGGCAGGCCUAACACAUGCAAGUCGAACGAGUGGCGGACGGGUGAGUAAUGUCUGGGAAACUGCCCGAUGGAGGGGGAUAACUACUGGAAACGGUAGCUUAUACCGCAUACCAUCGGAUGUGCCCAGAUGGGAUUAGCUAGUAGGUGGGGUAACGGCUCACCUAGGCGACGAUCCCUAGCUGGUCUGAGAGGAUGACCAGCCAGACUGGAAUUGAGACACGGUCCAGCCUCCUACGGGAGGCAGUAGUGGGGAAGAUUGCACAAUGGGCGCAGGCCUGAUGCAGCCAUGCCGCGUGUAUGAAGAAGGCCUUCGUGUUGUAAAGUACUUUCAGCGGGGAGGCGUUACCCGCAGAAGAAGCACCGGCUAACUCCGUGCCAGCCGCCGCGGUAAUUC